UAAACACCAAAAGUUUAUUUUUUAGAAAUCAUUUGUUUGAAGUUUUAAACUAGUCAAAGCACUAAAAUGACAUGAGUUACAUGCUGAUGGAAGACACAAAAUAUACAUAUCACUAUUUACUCUCUUAUACAACUCAACAAGUAUGAAGAGCAUAAAAUACAUUUAUUCACAUAACACAUUUCAUCAACUGUUAAAAUAUGUCAAUGACAAGUUGAAGUCCAACAAUAUUAUUUACCAGGCAGUACAAUAGUCUGACCCCCAGUGAAGCAGAAAAAUAUACACUCCCAUCCUUUAUAGUCUCACCUUAGACAAUUAGUCUUGAGCAAUAAUGAUAAUAUAUAUGUGAAGCUUGCACCAAGUUUCACAAAAAGUUCACUUCAUUAACUAAAUGAUCUUACUUGGACUCUGAACUCAGGUUAGGCACAAAACUAAAGCAGGUUUAUCAUUUUCAUACUGAAAAUGAUCAAACAAGAUCAUUUGUUUUAUAAGACAGAUAUAUCUAUGUAUAUGUGUGUGUGUUAACUUAGUAUUUUUCACUUCAGAAACAACAGAUAAUUGGAAGCAACUUUCUGCUUUUAUUAAAAAAAAAAUGUUUAAAGAACAUAUUUCUAUCACCUAGUUAAACCCAUCAGUAAAAAGUCUGAUAUUUUAGGAUAUACUUAAAGCUAAUUAUGGAACAGCACUCUCUCUCUGUACCCCUAAACACAUCUGCUGGGGUUUUGUAGUCUCAUUUUUUAAAAGUUCACUAACAUUAGGAAAAGCCUGCUAUUUUCAAGUAAUCUGCCUAGAAAAAUAUAAUCCCCUAGAAAUAAUGUAAUCAAAUUGUAUAUGAAGUUGCUUGGAUACUAUUUUAUCCAAUGAGAAGGGAAAUUCAGUUACUCUGAUGGUCUAAUGAUAAAUUUUAAAGUAGACUGUAAAACUUUAAAAGUGGUAAGCUUCCUGAACACUAUUUCCAGUCAUUUGAACAAAUAUCCUUCCCCUUUGAACAAAUAUAUGAAAGUUAUUGGCAGAUGCUCUACUUUAUUAUUCAUUAUACAAUAAAUUGUCAAACCACAUGGAAAUACAUAUAAUAACAGAAAUAAAAUUCUGAAGUCAGAUAUGCAUAUUGUGCUCAUUUCAUUUCAUUUUCUGUGGACAAAAAAGCCUAACACAAUGUAAGCACACAUAUUCUUUGACUAUUUCCCCCCCCCCCAAUUUUUGGUGUUUAUUUCUUGAGUUUAACAGCAUCAUGAAACCAAUUUAGUUGCUCUAAACCUAAGCUCAGAUAAUAGAGAUAACCCUUCCAGGAUGUGCAGAGAAUGACUGCCCUGUCACUCCCCAAAAUCUUGCAUGCUAAGCUCAUGCAGUCCUAUACAUGGCCAUGUCACAAUAUCUCCUCAACACAGACACGCAUGACCAGAGCGACAUCAUAGCAAGAGAAACAAUUUUGUCAUUUGUCUUCUCAAGGAGAAAAGGCCUAAAACUGAGGUUUUCUCCUCCACAUAUCUCCUAGAUUAGGCUCUAUGGGCACUAGUCACUGCAGCAUCCCAACCAGCCUGAGGAGAAAGGAUGGAACUUUGCUUCCUUCUACUUCAGCUCACAGAACACCAACACUCUCUCAAGGAACUCUAGGAAAUACGUGUCUCCUCUAAACCAUCAAUUAAUUCUUUUAGUCUUUAAGUGCUCCUAAAACAUGUGAGAACAUUUAUGUAAUAUAACAGCAAUCACAAAUUGCAAUGGCUUUUUAAAAAGUAUAUACACUGGAGAUAGAUAGAUAGAUCUUAAAAUAACCAACAUGUAGUUGUCAGCUUAAACUAAAAGUACACAAAACCUUUGCACUUCCAUGCUCAUUUGCACCAAGAUAUCCUUUCCAGUAGUUCAAUUUGGCAAGUAUCAAGCAUCUAC
rnacentral:lncRNA from 1 species